CCUACGGGUGGCAGCAGUGAGGAAUAUUGGGCAAUGGACGAGAGUCGGAACCAGCCAAGUAGCGGGAAGGAGGACAGCCCUAUGGGUUGUAAACUUCGGGUAUAAAGGAAUAAAACGAGGCACGUGUGCCUGUUUGCAUGUACUUUAUGAAUAAGGAUCGGCUAACUCCGUGCCAGCAGCCGCGGUAAUACGGAGGAUCCGAGCGUUAUCCGGAUUGAUUGGGGUUAAAGGGAGCGUAGAUGGGUUGUUAAGUCAGUUGGGAAAGUUUGCGGCUCCACCGUAAAAUUGCAAUUGAUACUGGCAGUCUUGCGUACAGUUGAGGUCGGCGGAAUUCGUGGUGUCGCGG
rnacentral:rRNA from 1 species